rnacentral:rRNA from 1 species
CACGGAGUUAGCCGGGGCUCCUUCUCUCGGUACCGUCACUCCCCUGGUGAUUAGCCCAGGGGCCAUUCGUCUCGAUCGAAAGGAGUUUACGACCCGAAGAUCUUCAUCCUCCACGCGGCGUUGCGUCGUCAGGCUUGCGCCCAUUGCGAACAAUUCCCUA